CAGCAGCCGCGGUAAAACAGAGGGUGCAAGCGUUAAUCGGAAUUACUGGGCGUAAAGCGCGCGUAGGUGGUUCGCCAAGUUGGAUGUGAAAUCCCCGGGCUCAACCUGGGCACUGCAUCCAAAACUGGCGAGCUAGAGUAUGGUAGAGGGUGGUGGAAUUUCCUGUGUAGCGGUGAAAUGCGUAGAUAUAGGAAGGAACAUCAGUGGCGAAGGCGACCACCUGGACUGAUACUGACACUGAGGUGCGAAAGCGUGGGGAGCAAACAGGAUUAGAUACCCCGGUAGUCCCUGUCUCUUAUAC
rnacentral:rRNA from 1 species